rnacentral:lncRNA from 1 species
GAACUCAAACACAUGCGAAAUGCCCCAAAUGAAAAACAAAAAAUGACUUUCCAAUGAGUAAUAACAUAAGCAUAAGUACGCUUGGAUAAUAUUUAUCUCAACUUGCAAAAGAAUAAUCAUGUGACCAAUUCUCAAACAAUAUAUGACAGUUAAUCAUCUUUACAUCGUAUUCGAUGUAUUCGUUUCUAGCAAGCUCUAACGGCGACUUGAACAAUCUUUACAUUGGAUUCACAUAAUCAUGUGGAACAAGUACGAAUACAGGC